rnacentral:rRNA from 1 species
AUGUAUACAUCUAAACAACCUUUUCUUAAAUCUAAGCAACCCUUUAGUAAAUCCAAGCAAACUUUUAAUAAAUCCAAGCAACCCUUUCGUAAAUCCAAGCAAACUUUUCGUAAAUUCAAGCAACCUUUUCGUAAAUCUAAACAACCUUUUCGUAGGCGUCCCCGGAUUGGCCCGGGAGAUCGAAUUGAUUAUAGAAACAUGAGUUUAAUUAAUAGAUUUAUUAGUGAAAAAGGAAAAAUAUUAUCGAGACGAAUAAAUAGAUUAACCUUGAAACAACAACCAGAACGUCGUGAGACAGUUCGGUCCAUAUCCGGUGUGGGCGUUAGAGCAUUGAGAGGACCUUUCCCUAGUACGAGAGGACCGGGAAGGACGCACCUCUGGUGUACCAGUUAUCGUGCCUACGGUAAACGCUGGGUAGCCAAGUGCGGAGAGGACUACCGCUCGGAAUUAGAUCAUAAGGGAAUUUCUAUCUACACUGGCACUAUAAUAUCAGAUUGGGGUGGGGGAGAUCGGAAUUAG